AUCUUUGUAUUUGCAUACAGUUUGAAAAGUAAUCAUCCUCCAAAAAUGAAGUUCCUAGUUAUGGUUGUUGCUGCUUUCACCGCUCUAUUGGCCUACAAUGAUGGCAAUCCACCACCAUUCAACCCUGGCAAGUAGAGGAUUUCAGAACUCCUGCCACCUGAUAACAUGAUUGCAAUAAUAACGGAUUUGUUUCCCACUUGAAAACACCAAUCAUAAAUAAAAUGCUUAUAUAUACGAUUUAAAAA
rnacentral:sRNA from 1 species